AGACAGGAGGCGAGAAGAAAAAUUAUUGACCAUCAGAGAAGGGAAGCUGUGGAAAUCCUUUGUGUGGGAAGACCAACAAAAACACAAAAUUCAAGCAGUUGUUGUAUCUUCCUUCAUCUCUCUCCUCGGUCACCAUAUCUACAAUACAAUCUGCAACAACAGACCACAGUCCAUCAGGUGAAUAAUUGAGGAGUUACAUUCAUCAGAAGCACUGAGAGAUAAACACUGUAUCUCAUCCCUUGACAGGAAUCUUCAGAUUUGCUUAACUUCAUGCAUCUGAGAAUUCCCAGUUUAUCUACAAAAUAUUUGAGAAUGACUCCAGGCUGGCGAGUAGCGGAGGCUGAAGUUUAUGAUAUUAAUCUCCUUGCUUGUGUUUCUUCUUUUAUGCACCUGCUAUUUCAUUACAAGCUCACUUCUGUAAAGAAUGCUUCACAUGUAGACCAGGUGUAGUGAAAUGGGACCUUGACUGUCAACCACAGCAUCAAUUUUCUCCUCACUCAAUAACAGGAGUAAAAAUAGAUAUCAGUGAAUGGAUUUUUUUCCCUCAAUGUAAGGCCUGUGUGCCUCUUAACAAAACAUCUGUGAACUGAAUUGUUAAUGUGUACACUAAAUGUGUUGAUUAAAUUUCCAGGAUUUUCUCUGGUCAAUUAGAAAGCGAGCCGUCAUGCAUUUUUCCCCUGAGCCACUGACAUGCUAUUGAAAUUCUUAAGCUACUGAUUAUGCAGAACCAAACUCUACUUUUAUUUAGACAGUUCUCAGUCAUUCAAGUAACUCUUCUAAAGGUCAUACAUGCAUCAAGCUUUCUUCCAUUAGUUGAGAAUGGUCAUCAACUUCAUCUAAACUACAGCAAUGAUUUUCUUCUUGACAAAUAUUUGGCUUUAUU